UGGUUUUCUCGUUUAACGACAAAGGCUGGUCAAGCAGAUGUGUAAGGGGGGGGCCCUUACACAUCUGCUUGACCAGCCUUUGUCGUUAAACGAGAAAACCA